GAGUGCGUCAUGACGUCACGGAAAGCAGUCUUUAUAUAGAGGCUCCUGGGCGCCAUCUCGGUCUUUCGAGGCUGGAAGUCGGCGUCUGGGAAUGAUGCUGGACACGAGUGCAGCGUGGCUUUUGUUGGCUUCUGAUGGACGGUUAUGUGCCAAAGGAAUGAGAACAGCUGCUGGGGUCCCAAAGCACAAGCAUCACGCUCUAGCCAUGGGCAGACAGGCACUAAAAAGAACUAGCUGGAAGUUGAUGUGAUGGACUUGAGUGUUGGACCUGUCGGGACUGGUUUUAUUGUCUUUUUUGCUACUGGAUACACAUUUGAUCCAUGGAUGGCAUGCUUGGGGUGCAGAUUUUGGAAACCUUUCAUAUAAAGGUGUGAAGAGUUGUGUUGGCUACCGGCCUGGAGCAAAGAGUUUUUUUAAGCAAAGGCAGAACUUCUGUACUGAAGAUUUCAAGGGCAUUUAUGACGACAGUCAUGCUGCUGACUUGUUGAAAGGGAGCUGGAUGGAUGCUCAUGGGAUAGAAAGAAGAUCAAAUAAUUCUAAUUUAAAUAAAUUUUUAUAAACCAUC